AGCUAAUCUGAUGGGGACUUGGAGAACUUUUGUGUCUAGCUACAGGAUUGUAAAUGCACCAAUCAGCACUCUGUGUCUAGCUAAAGGUUUGUAAAUGCACCAAUCAGCACUCUGUCAAAACGGACCAAUCAAUUCUCUGAAAAACGGACCAAUCAGCUCUCUGUAAAGUGGACCAGUCAGCUCUCUGUGAAAUGGACCAAUCAGCAGGAUGUGGGUAGGGCCGGAUAAGGGGAUAAAAACAGGCCACCCGAGCUAGCUGCUGCAGCCUGUUUGGGUCUGCCUUCCUUUGAGGGGGGCUUUGUUCUUUUGCUCUUGGCAAUAAAUCUUGCUGUUCCUUGGUCUUUGGGUGUGUGCCAUUACUGGGGAGGUCUGCAGCUUCACUCCUGAGGCCUUUACAACUGAGGUGGGUGAGACAAGGAACCCACCACAAACCCAGCGGGAGGGAGGAACAACUCCAGAUGCACUUCCUUAAGAGCUGUAAUGCUCACCGCAAAGGUGUGCAGCUUCACUCCUGAAGCUAGCGAGACCACGAACCCGCCAGAAGGAAGAAACUCUGAACACGUCUGAACAUCAGAAGGAACAAAUUACGGACACACCAUCUUUAAGGACUGUAACACUCACCGCAAGGGUCCGUGGCUUCAUUCUUGAAGUCAGCCAGCGAGACCAAGAACCCGCCAAUUCCGGACACACUAAGACAUCAGGAGGGCACUGUAUUGCCAGGUCCCUGGAUGUGGUGUGAAGACUGUUCUCUACAAAACUCUAGAAGGCACGAUUUUCAUCAGAUUCACAGCCAGCGUGGCCAUACAGAUGUCCAUAGAGGUGAGGGGGAAAAAGAAACCACUCAGGUUAUUACUGGUGGCAGAGCUGGAUCAUUAACCACAAGCGCCUAAGUUUCAGCAUACUAUUUUCCAUAUUAUUUUCAAGACAGUUUUAAAAAAGAUCAUUCGUAGAGAUAGUUAUGAAAAUAAUUUAAAGCAUAAAUAAAUCAUACCUUCUAACUUAAAUUUAUGUAGAUACUUAUGUGGUUCCAAACAUCAAUAUUUUUAUUCCAAAAUAUUUAUUG
rnacentral:lncRNA from 1 species